UUCGUGUUUGGAGGCGCGGCAGCGAGCGUCCGGGGCAGGAACAAUUCCCUGAGCGCUGUCUGGAGGGAGGCUCUGUGGCAUGUCAGCCUCUCCCGGACCUGGAACGACAGCACGACGGUGAAAGAGCGGCAGCAAAUCUUCCAGUAUCUUACCACGACCGACGACAUUCUUCGCAACAUCACGCCCGGCGGAGGGUGCUACAAGAACGAGGCGGACUACUUCGAGCCAUACUGGCAGGACGCGUUCUUCGGGGAGAAGUACUCGGCGCUCAAGGCGAUCAAGGAGAGCGUGGAUCCAACCGGCUUGUUCCUGUGCUGGAAGUGCGUUGGAAGCGAAAAUCUGGUCCAAGGCAACUGCAAAGCCGCAGGAAAUCGAAAAUCGGAACAUACCUCACUCACAUAGACCCC
rnacentral:lncRNA from 1 species